rnacentral:rRNA from 11 species
UAAGGUCACGGCGAGACCAGCCGUUUAUCAUUACGAUAGGUGUCAAGUGGAAGUGCAGCGAUGUAUGCAGCUGAGGCAUCCUAACAGACCGAGAGAUUUGAAC